rnacentral:rRNA from 1 species
AUGUACAUUCCUACAACAUAGCAUUAAUGCACAGGAUCCUAUUAGAACUCCGCAAUUAAGCGCGCUUAGGCUAGAAUAGUACUAGGAUGGGUGACCGCUUGAGAAGUCUUAGUGUUUUACAUG